rnacentral:lncRNA from 10 species
UCUCACUUGUUCAGCAGUUAUUUAUUGAAUACUUUAUGCCAGGCACUGUUCUAGGAGCUUGGGAUACAUGGAUGAACAAGGCAGACAAGUAUCCCCAUCCGUAUGGAGUUUACAUUCCAGGGGCAGGAGACAGGUCAGUAAAUUAUACUUUUGUUAGAGAGUGGUAAGUGCUAUGGAGGAAAGGAAAGUUGUUUCUGGAGAUGCAGGGUUGGGGGCAGGUUGUAGUCUUUGAUAGGGUGUUGGGAUGGGCCUCAUUGACAAGGUGAGAUUUGAGCAUAGGCCUGAAGGAGGGGAGGAAGUUCACCAAGCCCACAACCGGGCAGAAAUCACAGCCAGAGCAGAGGUCCCAUGGUGGGAAUGUGUCCGGCCUGGUUGACGAACCACAAGGAGGCCAGCAUUGCUGGGGUGGAGCGACUGAGAGGAAAAGGGAGAGGGAGGGACAGACGGGAGGUCACGAGGUGUGCAGCCAGAUCCUGCAGCCACCCACUGGACUUUGGCUUUAUGCCGAGUGAAGCCGGGAGCCGUGGGAAGGCUCUGAGCAGAGGAGUCGCCUCCUGACUCUUGCUGUGAAAGGGUGGCUAGGGCUGCUGCGUGGGGGAUCUGUACAAGAUGGGCAGAUCAUCCCCGUGCCUCAUGGGCUGCUGUGAAGGUCACGGGGGGACACUGGACAAGGAAAUGCUUAGAAACAAAAGGCCCUGACUGUGGUUACAGGGCUUCCAGGAGAGAGAGCUGAGUGGCUCUGCUCACAACCGUCUUAUUGAAGGGUCAGUGGAGCUCAGGAGAGGGUUAUAAUUUGCCCAGGGUCAUAUGUUCUACAACCAAUUCAAGAUCGGGGACUUCCCACUCUUCUCCCAGGGCAAAUACCAUCUGGCAGGUGGCUAAGUAGUGCAGCCUUUGGACCUGUGAUGGCUGUAGUGCGGCUGACGGGGACUGAGUCCUCCCUUGAAAAUCCAUUCACUCCACAAAUAUUUGUUAAGUGCCGGUUAUGGGCCAGGCACUGAUCUGGACUAGAAGCUGGGACCUAGAGAUAUUGGGAGACACCUGGCAAGGGCUAAGUCCUGGUCUCUGGUGGGGCUGGUUUCUGGUGGGGCUGGUCUCUGGUGGGGUUGGUCUGUCUCUGGUGGGGCUGGUCUCUGGUGGGGUUGGUCUGUCUCUGGUGGGGUUGGUCUCUGGUGGGGUUUGGUCUCUGGUGGGGCUGGUCUCUGGUGGGGUUGGUCUCUGGUGGGGUUGAUCUCUGGAGGAGUUGGUCUCUGGUGGGGCUCAGUCGGUCUGUGCAGGAGUCAAGUGUUAGAGGCCACACUACUGAAGGCUGGUGUUGGACUUAGGGUCAAGAGUCCAUCUGGGGCUGGGGUCAGGUCACAGCUGGAGUCAGGCAGCCCAGUCAAGAGGCUGUGGAAAGUCAAGCUGGAGAGGCAAGGCCUGCUGGGGGCUGUGGAGGUCAGGAGAAGGCCACACACCACGGGCCAGACUGUGUAUGGUAGGGGUGGGACCAAGGUGCCACUGAGCUUUUACGUUUAGGUGGCAAAGAAGAUGAUGUCAUUCAUAAAAGCAGGAAGGCAUUAGUUCAUUUGAGGAACAGAAAGAGUGCAGUGCAUCUGAUGAGCGGGGAGAGGCGUUUCAGAUGAAGAGACAGGCUGGGACCAGGUCAUGUAGCCUGGUAGUCUCUUGGGGAAUUAUUCCAAGAACAAUGGGAAGCCCUCAGAGGGCCAGGCAGGAGGUUCUGGGUCUGGUUUGUCUUUGAAAAUUAUGCGUAGCACACAGAUUUAAGGGGGCCGGAGGCCAGGCAUGGUGGCUCACGCCUGUAAUCCCAGCACUUUGGGAGGCGGAGGAGGGCAGAUCAUGAGGUCGGGAGUUCGAGACCAGCCUGGCCAACAUGGUGAAACCCCAUCUCUACUAAAAAUACAAAAAUUAGCCCGGCAUGGUGGUGCACAUCUGUAAUCCCAGCUACUUGGGAGGCUGACGCAGGAGAAUUGCUUGAACCCAUGAGGCGGAGGUUGCGGUGAGCAGAGACCACGCCAUUGCACUCCAGGCUGGGUGACAAGAGCAAGACUCCCUCUCAAAAAAAAAAAGCAGGGAGGGUGGCUGGGGGGCAGGAAUGGGACCAGGAGACCAGUGACGGGCCAAAGUAGUUUAGAGAUGGUGGUGACUUUGAGUGGUGGUGGAGAAGAAGAAGGGGGCAGAUUCCAUAGCUGUCUUGAAGGCAGAAGUGUCAGGAUUUGCCGUGGGAGGAAGGGAGAAGGAGGUGAAGGUAGUGCCCAGGCUUGGGGCUGCGCAAGGCAUGGUGCUGGCCUCCACUGAGAUGGGGAGAUGGAGAACACCUUCUGGAGUAGGUAGAAACCAGUUUUGUUCUGGCUGUCUUCUGCUGUGGCACUCAUCUGUAGCCACCAAGUAGGUGGCUGAGGAUGCACACUGAAACUUCCUAAAGAGAGAAACGAACAUGUACCUUUGUGGGUUAUCAACGUGCCCCCAUACUUAAGAGUGUGGGGCCGGGCGUGGUGGCUCACGCCUGUAAUCCCAGCACUUUGGGAGGCCGUGGCGGGUGGAUCACGAGGUCAGGAGAUGGAGACCAUCCUGGCUAACAUGGUGAAACCCCGUCUUUACUAAAAAAUACAAAAAAUUAGCCAGGCAUGGCGGCACGAGCCUGUAGUCCCAGCUAGUCGGGAGGCUGAGGCAGGAGAAUGGCGUGAACCCGGGAGGCGGAGCUUACAGUGAGCCGAGAUCGCACCACUGCACUCCAGCCUGGGCAACAGAGCCAGACUCCGUCUCAAAAAAAAAAAAAAAAAAAAAAAGAGUGUGGAUGGAGGAGCAGCUCUGAUCAGUGAGGAGGAGGGGCAGGGAGGUGGAAGGAAACCUGGGAGAGGGGCCACCAUAGUCCCAGGAAAGACUUGAAGGACGGUGUGGUCAGCUGUGUCGGAUACCGCUGAGAGGACCAGUCAGACAAGCGCAGAGGAAAGCCCGGUGGACUUGGGCACGUGAGGUCGCCGGCGAAGCUGACAAGAGCAGGCUUGUGAACUGCUUGAGGAUGGGUGGAGCAGCACUGGGAGCAGCGGCAGGAGGUGAGGCAGUGGCUGGACAAGAUGCAGCCCCGGGUGCGAGCAUGCUUGUCCGCAGAGGGAGUGACUCCGUGGGGAGGGAGAGCCAAUGAUGCUGACGAGGGGAGGCAGCAAAGGAGGGGUCCAGGCCGGGUACGGUGGCUCAUGCUUGUAAUGCCAGCACUAUGGGAGGCCGAGGCAGGAGAAUCACUGGAGCCCAGGAGUUCGAGACCAGCCUAGGUAACAUAGGGAAACCCUGUGUCAAUCAGUCAAUCAGUGAGUGGUCCUGCACAGCCCAGGCUCUCUGAUUAAUGCUGCCACCACAGUUCCCAUCCGCUGGGUUUGAAGGGAAAGUGAAACUUCCAAAUCCCACAAAGGCCCUGGCUCCUGAGCCUCACCUCUUUGAUUGAGUGUAAAUUAUUCCCACUUGGCUUCUCAUUUUAUUGUCACAACAAGCCCUGUGAGUUUCAGGGGAUUAAAUGAGCUGCAUAAGCACCAGCUGAGUGCUAGUAAGUGGCAAAGCCACGAUUUGAAGCCAGGUCUGAGCUGUCUCCAGAGCACUUCCUCUCAAUCCCCAUGUCAUACUGCUUCCCGCAGGCUUCUUACUUCGAGCAGUCUUAGGAUCAGGUCACCUGCAAUCUCUGUUCCCAAGGGGAUGGAUUAGGCAGGCAGAUGGGAUUCCUUCCCAAUCAUUGUUUCUUAUGGGCAAUUCCUACCUCUAGUACUUUCGAGACAAACUUAAUAUCAGUCCUCCAGGCUUCCUUCCUACCCAGGAAUGAUGCUUUUUGAGCGUUUCCUCACAUGCCUGACGGUCUACUUACAUGCCGCCAGAGACAGAAAGCUCACUAUCUCCAUGAGUAACCCAUUCUAGGCAGUAGGCUUUGCAUGACAGCUUAGAGUCUAUGCUCUUAAGUUGCUUUGGCUGAAUCUCAGUUCUGCUGCCUACUAGCAUCCUGUGCUUCAGUUUCCUCACCUGUAAAAUGGUAAUAACAGCCUGGCACAGUGGUCCAUCCCUC